rnacentral:lncRNA from 1 species
AGAACAAAAUUUUAACAGGGAUGUGUGAAACAACCGUUGUACGUACUCUAAAAACCUAAGCUAUUAGAGAACUGUAUCUAUAUAUUUCUAUAUUUAAUACUCCCCCUCACGUCUGGACUCGAAAUUGGACUUGAUUUAAAUAAAAGAAAAUUAAUAAUGCUAAAAGUCUGGCGUAACUCAAACUCAGGGUUUUCCGUUUUGAAACCAUGUAAAACAAUCGUUGUACUAGAUCUAAAAGCUUAAUUAAGCUAUUAGAGAACGAUGUCUAUAUAUUUUUAUAUUUAAUAGGAUGUGG